rnacentral:lncRNA from 1 species
CCCGAAGUAAGUAACUGCUGAACGGACCAGCUGACAGAUGGGAAAUCCUUGCACGGAGCUAUGACAAGGGGAAGUCUGUGGGAAAAGAGGAAGGGCGCUCCUGACAGAUGUGUGUUCCUGCAGCCCCCUGCAUAUGUGGAGAGCCCCAAGGGCGAGGCUUCCGCUAGAACUGUCAGGAAGAGUCAACAAGAACCCAAAGAAAUGUCCUCAUCCCAGAACCCAGAGGUGAAGCCAGAACUGGAAAGUUCUGCCAUUAUUCCAGUUUGCAUCUGGACAUUCAUGUUAUGCAGAAGGCAUUUGAGAAUAUUGCUCUGGUGGCACUGAUUAGACACUAAGGAUUUCAGGUGUGUGGGGCCAAAGAAGGACAUAGAAAGGGAUCAGAAAUGUCUCUUUCAAUAGCUCUAUAUUUUUCAGUUUAUUAAAACAGUA